rnacentral:antisense_RNA from 1 species
UUCCUCCCUUUAAUUUGAAACGGGAACGCGAAUAACUAAAAUAGGAAGACACUUAAAGAUGAAGUGCUUAAUUCAAGGUCACAGAAUGUCGGGGAUGGACCUCCAGAUUUCCUUACUGACCUGCAUUAUCUUGUGGAUACCUGAGUGAAUUCCACACCACCCAUUUUAUAGAUGAAGCCACUGAGACGUGGAGCAACUGACUGAGUAGUCACUGCCCCACCCCUGCCUGGAGCCUCACACAUGACUUCUCUUAGUGACCACAGGUUGGUUGAGGGGUUUAACAAGGCUAAGAAGGUGAGACGUGGUCUUGUAACACAGUGGUUAAGAAUGUGACUUUGGAGCCAGCCUGCUAGGGGCUGAAUUCUGACUCAGCCAUUUAUUAACUGUGUGACCUUAGAUGGAGUCUCACUCUGUAGCCCAAGCUGGAGUGGCGUGAUCUCGACUCACUGCAACCUCCGCCUCCUGGGCUCAAGUGAUUCUCGUGCCUCAGCCUCCUGAGUAGCUGGGACUACAGUUGUCCCUUCACGUGGGAUUGCUUCCAGUACCUCUGUGUAU